UCAUUUUCUAUGUUCACCUAUCUAACCAGCUCCUCUCCAGUGGUUGACCGACGAACCGUCGACCCCGUUGGACCUGUGUGUUCUCCUGGACAGCUCUAACAGCUACAAAGCAAAGGCAACUUUCUGCACGGAGCAGCACAACUACGUCUGCCAGGAUGCUCUAAAACCAUGUGAGCCAAACGUGUGUCAGAACGACAUCAACUCUUACACCUGCCAAUGCCCAGUCGGUUACCAAGGAGACCACUGCGAGACAGACCUGGAUUGGUGCUCCCAAGUCACGUGUCCAUUUGGGUUUGUCUGCCAGGACUUCACGUUCUACUUCCAAUGCGUUCG